AUUGAACGCUAGCGGGAUGCCUUACACAUGCAAGUCGAACGGAGUUGCGAACGGGUGAUUAAUGUAUCGGAACGUGCCCAGUAGCGGGGGAUAACUACGCGAAAGCGUAGCUAAUACCGCAUACUAUUGGAGCGGUCUCUAUCGGAUUAGCUAGGUGGUGGGGUAACGGCUCACCAAGGCGACGAUCCGUAGCUGGUUUGAGAGGACGACCCGCCACACUGGGACGGAGACACGGCCCAGACUCCUACGGGAGGCAGCAGUGGGGAAUUUUGGACAAUGGGGGAAAGUCUGAUCCAGCCAUGCCGCGUGUGCGAUGAAGGCCUUCGGGUUGUAAAGCACUUUUGGCAGGAAAGCGGUACCUGCAGAAUAAGCACCGGCUAACUACGUGCCAGCCGCCGCGGUAAUUC
rnacentral:rRNA from 1 species